rnacentral:rRNA from 2 species
UGUUUGAUGUUCUAACGUGGACCCGUGAUCCGGGUUGCGGACAGUGUCUGGUGGGUAGUUUGACUGGGGCGGUCUCCUCCUAAAGAGUAACGGAGGAGCACGAAGGUUGGCUAAUCCUGGUCGGACAUCAGGAGGUUAGUGCAAUGGCAUAAGCCAGCUUGACUGCGAGCGUGACGGCGCGAGCAGGUGCGAAAGCAGGUCAUAGUGAUCCGGUGGUUCUGAAUGGAAGGGCCAUCGCUCAACGGAUAAAAGGUACUCCGGGGAUAACAGGCUGAUACCGCCCAAGAGUUCAUAUCGACGGCGGUGUUUGGCACCUCGAUGUCGGCUCAUCACAUCCUGGGGCUGAAGUAGGUCCCAAGGGUAUGGCUGUUCGCCAUUUAAAGUGGUACGCGAGCUGGGUUUAGAACGUCGUGAGACAGUUCGGUCCCUAUCUGCCGUGGGCGCUGGAGAACUGAGGGGGGCUGCUCCUAGUACGAGAGGACCGGAGUGGACGCAUCACUGGUGUUCGGGUUGUCAUGCCAAUGGCACUGCCCGGUAGCUAAAUGCGGAAGAGAUAAGUGCUGAAAGCAUCUAAGCACGAAACUUGCCCCGAGAUGAGUUCUCCCUG